GGGACUUUUCUGUGAAAAACAACUGGUCUCGUUGAACAAAUUGCCUCCCUGAGUCGGACCAGCUGCCCGUGGAUCCUACGCUGCAGUCACACCAGACUCCUCAUGUUGUGGGAGGCCUGAACUUCUUUUCCUGAGGAAGGAACUCAGAUAAAAACAAAUAUGGUCUUGCUCUUGCUCUGUCGCCCAGGCUGGAGUGCAGUGGUGCAAACUUGGUUUACUGCAGUCUUAAGUCUUAACCUCCUGUGCUCAAGUGAUCCUCCUGCCCCAGCCUCCCAAAGUGCUGGGAUUACAUGCAUGAGCCCCCAUGCCCAGCCCAACAAUUUCUUAAUUAUACUAUAGCCUUUGCUUCCACAGGAAGGAAGGGAGGAAGAAAUUAUUUUUUUUUCCGAGACGGAGUCUCGCUGUGUCGCCCAGGCUGGAGUGCAGUGGCGUGAUCUCGGCUCACUGCAAGCUCCACCUCCCGGGUUCCCACCAUUCUCCUGCCUCAGCCUCCUGAGUAGCUGGGACUACAGGCACCUGCCACCGUGCCCGGCUCAUUUUUUUGUAUUUUUAGUAGAGACCGGGUUUUACCGUGUUAGCCAGGAUGGUGUCGAUCUCCUGACCUCCUGAUCUGCCCGCUUCGGCCUCCCAAAGUGCUGGCAUUACAGGCGUGAGCCACCGCGCCCGGCCGGGAGGAAGAAAUAUUAAGGGAACAUCUAGUAUGUGCUAGAUAUUUUCCUAUUUUCUUUCUCAUCUAGCUGCAAGAUCAUAUGAUAACAUGAGACAGCAGAGAGGAGAAGACCCCUGUCUCACAGCCAGUAAGUGGUAGGGCUGAGGUUUGAACUCGGGUUUCUCCAACUCCAAAGCCUGGGCUCUUUCCUUCAUGCAGUCUCCACACAAGAACUUGCACAGGUGCUCAAGGGUGCUGAGGAGGAGUGUUUGGUUGAAGAUGCAAGAAGAGAGAGAGAUUAAAUGGGAGUGGGCUUAGAUGAGGGAGGAAGAAGAUGAUGGGGAAGGAAGGUGGCAGACGGACUGAGUGAUGGAGAAGGGAGGUGGGGGAGGGAAGGGUCACAGGGUUCUGCUUUGACAGGGAUUUGGGAUCCCAAGAAUGGAGCUUUUUUUCCACACUGUGCCUUGCUGGAAUCACCUCACGUCCCCACAUGCGAUGAGCUCAUCCUUCUCUUGGCACCACCUGCCUCUCAUCUUGGCCCUGGCUGGGACGCACCAACGUUUCUGCAGGAGGAAUAAAGCAAUAACAGGAAUCUCAUUUUUCUCCUUAAAAUAAUAUCUCUCUGUUCUGCCAGCAAGCAGGGAGCUACUCCUGCCAGCACUCCAGUGGGAAGCCUGUUCCCAAUCCGAUAGGAUUAGUCUGAUACUGGCUUCCCAGGAGCCCCCAGUAGCCAAGGCAGCCCUCAGGUGACCUUGAGCUCCUGGCUACAGAUCCCCUGAUGUCCUUCUCAGCCCCCAGAUAGUCACUCACCUCCAUGCCUCCAUCCCAGGCUCUCCAGGGCAAAGGGAUGCUAUUCUCACUAGUCCCAGGCUCCCCUAGCUGGUAGCUCCUUCACCAUCUCUCUAGGACCUAACCAAUUUCCUACAAGGAAAGGAUCACUGGAAAAACCAUUUUGAACAGGAAGAAUUUAAUUUUUUUGCAACAGGCUUUCCCCUCUUUAAAGAAAAGAAAGAAAAAAGAGUCCUCAUUUACCUAAAGGUCUGAGUGCCUGGAAAUUUCUUCCCUGUGUGCACAUUACCCACUUCCUGGCUGCAGGGAUGGAAGGACUCGGAGAAUUCGAAGGAUAUUAAACAGAUUCAUAAUGGACUCAGCAGUAUAAACAUGUCUCAAGUGCAGACAGAAAUGCCACAAGCUCCUACUUGGUUUAAUGAAAACAUACACCAGU
rnacentral:lncRNA from 10 species